rnacentral:rRNA from 1 species
UACGUAGGAGGCAAGCGUUGUCCGGAGUUACUGGGCGUAAAGCGCACGCAGGCGGUGCUGCGCGUUUGGGGUUACAGCUCCCGGCUCAACCGGGAGAGCGCCUCGAAGACGGCAGCACUUGAGGGCCAGAGAGGGACACGGAACUCCGGGUGGAGUGGUGAAAUGCGUAGAUAUCCGGAAGAACACCAAAGGCGAAAGGCAGUGUCCUGGCUGGUACCUGACGCUCAGGUGCGAAAGCUAGGGGAGCGAACGGGG